rnacentral:rRNA from 1 species
UACAGAGGUGGCAAGCGUUGUUCGGAAUUACUGGGCGUAAAGGGCGCGUAGGCAGUCCGAUAAGUCCCGUGUGAAAGCCCCCGGCUCAACUGGGGAACUGCACGGGAAACUGACGGACUUGAGUUCGGGAGAGGGAAGCGGAAUUCCGGGUGUAGAGGUGAAAUUCGUAGAUAUUCGCAAGAACACCAGUGGCGAAGGCGGCUCACUGGCCCGGUACUGACGCUGAGGUGCGAAAGCGUGGGGAGCAAACAGG